GCAGGUGACAAGAGGUUCCGCAGGGUCACAGGCUUAUUAAACUUGGAUGACAGUAAACCGAUGACUAACUGGGUUGUUCUACAGUGCCUUGCUUCUGAUUGUGCUGUCAACCUUCUCAGUCCCUGGGUUGGACCUAGGACAACAGGCCAGCCUUUGGUUAGCAUCAGCAGCUGAGUGGAGACUCGUCUCCAAGCAUCAAGGAUGUGAAAAUGUGAUCUUGUUGGGGAUAGUGGGAGCUUGGGGGAUGGGUUCCUUUGUACUUCUCUCAAGGUCUCCUGGUCCCUCCCUGUGUGUUUGUGGGCGCCACAGACAGCCUCACAAUCAGGAUGAGUGGUAACGGGACAGUCAAACACAAUGAAGGGAAUCAUUGUCUCACGAGAGUCAGAACAUCUGUUCCUCCCACCGCACCUGGGCGAAGGCCAAAUAAUCAAAAGAAGGAAACAGGAUCUGCCAACAACGCACUUUACCUUGAGUCUUUGUGUAGAGAAUACCUUCUCCAAGUAGGCGCCUUUCAUUGGCUCAGAUUUUCCCAUCUCAGUUGUCAUUAUAACUGAAAGCUAUUGUAGCUCAUAAUUUCACAUUGUCCUUUCAAAUAGAAGCAUCGCCAA
rnacentral:lncRNA from 1 species